AGUCGAGUGCGCGGUUGUAGCAAUACAACUGGCGCACGGCGCACGGGUGCGUAACACGUGGGUAACCUGCCCUUUGGUGGGGAAUAACUCCGCGAAAGCGGAGCUAAUUCCGCAUAAGAUCCGCAAGGAUGAAAGCCGCAAGGCGCCGAAGGAGGGGCCCGCGCCCGAUUAGCUAGUUGGUAGGGUAACGGCCUACCAAGGCUUUGAUCGGUAGCUGGUCUGAGAGGAUGAUCAGCCACACUGGAACUGAGACACGGUCCAGACUCCUACGGGAGGCAGCAGUGGGGAAUCUUGCACAAUGGGCGAAAGCCUGAUGCAGCGACGCCGCGUGGGGGAUGAAGCAUUUCGGUGUGUAAACCCCUUUCGAUCCGGACGAAACCCCGCAAGGGAUUGACGGUACGGAUAUAAGAAGCCCCGGCUGACUACGUGCCAGCAGCCGCGGUAAGACGUAGGGGGCCAGCGUUGUUCGGAAUUACUGGGUGUAAAGGGCUCGUAGGCGGUGCGGCAAGUUGGGAGUGAAAUCUCUGGGCUUAACCCAGAGGCUGCUUCCAAAACUGCUGUGCUUGAGUGUGGGAGAGGCGCGUGGAAUUGCAGGUGUAGCGGUGAAAUGCGUAGAUAUCUGCAGGAACACCCGUGGCGAAAGCGGCGCGCUGGACCACUACUGACGCUGAGGAACGAAAGCUAGGGGAGCAAACAGGAUUAGAUACCCUGGUAGUCCUAGCCCUAAACGAUCAGGACUUGGGGUGCCACCCGUUCGGGUGUCGUCCCGGAGCUAACGCGUUAAGUCCUGCACC
rnacentral:rRNA from 1 species